CAUGGAGGGUGAGAAUCCCGUCUUUGACUCAGUGCAUGCUACUAUGUGAUACGUUUUCAAAGAGUCGAGUUGUUUGGGAAUGCAGCUCAAAAUGGGAGGUAAAUUUCUCCUAAGGCUAAAUACCGGCGAGAGACCGAUAGCGAACAAGUACCGUGAGGGAAAGAUGAAAAGAAUUUUGAAAAGAAAGUCAAACAGUACGUGAAAUUGUUGAAAGGGAAACGAUUGAAGCCAGUCGUACCGAUGGGAAUUCAACUUCUCGAGUGCUAAUCGUGGGUGACGUUGAGCCUCACGGCCUUCGUUGCUUGUGUUGUUGGUGCUUUUGGGGUGUACUUUUCCGUAUGGUAGGUCAGCAUCGAUUUCGAUCGUCAUAAAAUGAUCGGGGGAAUGUAGCUUCGGUCUCGUAUCGGAGUGUUAUAGACCUUGGUAGAUGUGACGAUUGGGAUCGAGGAUUGCAACGAAUACCCUUUUGGGCUAUCCGUCUGUCCUCUGAAAGUCGCUCGGGUGUCGAAAGCGUGCUUAUGGCUAUUCGAGUUGGCGGUCAAUAGGUUAGAACGUGAUUACAUUCGUUAAGGAUGUUGACGUAAUGG
rnacentral:rRNA from 1 species